CCAACCAAUCAUUAACUCUGAGGGAAGGUGGGCUUUGAUCGACUCUACUCUGAACUUCAGGCUGCGUGUGGUUUCUUUGUUUGAUACUGUGUACUUGAGAGGAGCUGGCUCAGUGAUCAGGAAAUUAUUGUCCAUUGAUUGGUACCUGGAACACAUCACCAAGCACCAUAAUGGGCAUCAAUAGGUGUCUAUAGAAGCCCUUUUUGAAUUCCGAUGAAUCUCAUGGAGCUUACAAACUUACAUUGAACAGGUGAUGGUUGGAUGUGUCUGCUUCUUUUUGAGAGCAUUAUUACACCAAUGCUGUGGUUAGAUUUGUUGGAGUUUAGUAUCCAAAAAAGAUUUGUUAGAGUUCAAUCUGGGUCUAAGGUUAGUUGGGAAUUUAUCUGCAACUGUAAGUAUUUUUUUUUGUUACAACAAAAGUGAGGAUCUUUACCACAUAUGUCAAUUCGAGUCUGAAAAAUGGCUUCUGUUUUUCCUCCUUCAAAAGUUUGUUAUGUGGUAUCAUAAGUUUGAAAUGUGGUAUCAUAGGAUGUGAAUCAGUGCCUAUGAUAUUGGUUUUUUUUAUCUGUUUUUCAACUUAAUUUGGUGAAAUUUGCUUAGCUGAAAAAGAUGGUAUUUAAUAUGUGGGGAGACGGGCAUGUCUAGCAGUAGGAAUAUGAUACAGUGAUAUACUGUUAUACUUUUGAUAGCUUUGUGUUCAUUCUUUUUCAAAACCUCUAUAUAUAGAUGAUUUAGAAGAAAUGCUCAAUGAAGCUAUUUGAGUCAUCUCAAUAUGUAAUAGACGAUGGUAGCAUAGAGAAGGUAUGGUUCGUCACACCACUUUCUUAGGUGACAUUUCGCAACAUCUGAUAGUAUCCUGAUGGAUUGUAUUACAAAUAAAGAGGCGUAAGAGGUGACGAGUUCAAGAUCAGGAGCAGACCUACAAGCCUAUUUUGAAUGAUUAUGAUUUUAUGAAGAGUGAGGAGGAGGAAGAAGAAGUUGACGACAAAGGAUAGGAAGUGUCAAAAGGAAGGUCGUCUUUGAGAUCAUCAAUAGAACUUUUUCCUUCAAACUACAGGUACCAAAAUGUUUGAGACAGCUAUAAGUCUAUAACAACUAUGAAGAAGAGGAAUAUCUAGCAGAUGAAGAAAGUGAUUUCGAUGACGAUGAUUACCAUGGCGAUGAUGACUACUGGGGUGGUAACAGUGAUAUAGAUUAAAGAUUGUACCAAGCAGGGUUUCCCAAGCAAAUUUUCUCCUCAUCUAUAAAUGGGGAAUUGCAAUUGUGCCGGUGAAAUCUAAAUGCUGGAGAUAAUAUGCCAUAUGCACAUUUUGUGUCGAGUCCAAUUGAGAAUUUGAGUCGGUGAAAAGCAGCCAAAGUAAAAGUAGCAGCACCAAAGCAGCAAAAGGAGAAUGUCGUAUCAUUUCAAGAACCAAGAAUUCUAUAGAGCAGAUGAAGUUGCAACCAGUUCAAACCUCUUUUGCAAAAAAAUGCCAGUCCAUGCCAGCCUUUCGAGUUGGAUAAGGGAAAAAUAAUGCGAUGGAUAUAAUCUUAAGCUUGGUUACAUUGUGGAUGGCGAAAACUGAGGAGGAUAUUCAGCAGAAGUUUAUUUGAGGCUGCUUUUUGGUUUUCUAGCGCAUUUUGCAGUGUGUGGUAUUUAGGAAGAUUGUUGUUGGGUAUUUCUUUCUGAUUCUUUCAAUUGUUCUGUAUAUGAAGAUUUUGUUGUGUAGAUUUGCCCAACUGUUUGUGCAAGUAUUUGACAGUAAAAGGAAACACAAGUCAUGGAUUCCAAAUCCUUCAUUUGUUAUUUACAGUGCAAAUACAUGUUUGUAAUUACAGUCUAUUAUUCCAACUAUAGGAUUAUAUUUUUUAUG